GACGAACGCUGGCGGCGUGCCUAAUACAUGCAAGUUGAGCGCUGAAGGUUGGUACUUGUACCAACUGGAUGAGCAGCGAACGGGUGAGUAACGCGUGGGGAAUCUGCCUUUGAGCGGGGGACAACAUUUGGAAACGAAUGCCAAUACCGCAUAAAAACUUUAAACACAAGUUUUAAGUUUGAAAGAUGCAAUUGCAUCACUCAAAGAUGAUCCCGCGUUGUAUUAGCUAGUUGGUGAGGUAAAGGCUCACCAAGGCGAUGAUACAUAGCCGACCUGAGAGGGUGAUCGGCCACAUUGGGACUGAGACACGGCCCAAACUCCUACGGGAGGCAGCAGUAGGGAAUCUUCGGCAAUGGACGAAAGUCUGACCGAGCAACGCCGCGUGAGUGAAGAAGGUUGUCGGAUCGUAAAACUCUGUUGGUAGAGAAGAACGUUGGUGAGAGUGGAAAGCUCAUCAAGUGACGGUAACUACCCAGAAAGGGACGGCUAACUACGUG
rnacentral:rRNA from 1 species